rnacentral:tRNA from 1 species
GGUUGUGGCUCAGUGGUAGAGCACUCGCCUAGCACAUGCGAGGUCCUAGUUUAAUCCUCAGUACCA